ACUUACAACCAGCCAGGUAUGGAAGAUCAAAAAUAUCUGAGACUGGUUUGGGGCCUAGACACCAAGGUCUAACCAGGCAUAUAUAAACAAGUCCCGGAAUAAAUAGAGCCGAUUUCGGUCAGUCGAAAUUCAAAAGAAUCCGUCCAACAUUAUCUGACACUUU